AGAGUUUGAUCAUGGCUCAGAUUGAACGCUGGCGGCAGGCCUAACACAUGCAAGUCGAGCGGCAGCGGGGAGUAGCUUGCUACUUUGCCGGCGAGCGGCGGACGGGUGAGUAACGCGUGGGAAUCUACCCAUUUGUGGGGGGAUAACUUGGGGAAACCCAAGCUAAUACCGCAUAAUCCCUACGGGGGAAAGCAGGGGAUCUUCGGACCUUGCGCAGAUGGAUGAGCCCGCGUCGGAUUAGCUAGUUGGUAGGGUAAAGGCCUACCAAGGCGACGAUCCGUAACUGGUCUGAGAGGAUGACCAGUCACAUCGGGACUGAGACACGGCCCGAACUCCUACGGGAGGCAGCAGUGGGGAAUCUUGGACAAUGGGGGCAACCCUGAUCCAGCCAUGCCGCGUGUGUGAAGAAGGCCCUAGGGUUGUAAAGCACUUUCAGUAGGGAGGAAGGCUUCGGGUUAAUACCCUGGAGUACUUGACGUUACCUACAGAAGAAGCACCGGCUAAUUUCGUGCCAGCAGCCGCGGUAAUACGAAAGGUGCGAGCGUUAAUCGGAAUUACUGGGCGUAAAGCGCGCGUAGGCGGUUAGUUAAGUCGGAUGUGAAAGCCCAGGGCUCAACCUUGGAACUGCAUCCGAUACUGGCUAGCUAGAGUGCAGUAGAGGGAGGUGGAAUUUCCGGUGUAGCGGUGAAAUGCGUAGAGAUCGGAAGGAACACCAGUGGCGAAGGCGGCCUCCUGGACUGACACUGACGCUGAGGUGCGAAAGCGUGGGGAGCAA
rnacentral:rRNA from 1 species